AGACCAAUCGCAUUAAGAUGAUGUGCAAUAUCUUUUCUUAUCAGUUUAAUCAAGUACCGUAAUCCAUUAUCUGAAAAAAAAAUCAAGUACCCUAAUCUGACUCCGAAAUCUAUGAGUCCAUAAUAUACUUAGUCUUCAACAAUUGUGUAGAUUUCUUUUCAAACU
rnacentral:snRNA from 1 species